UACGUAGGGUGCGAGCGUUGUCCGGAAUUACUGGGCGUAAAGAGCUCGUAGGUGGUUUGUCGCGUUGUCCGUGAAAACUCACAGCUUAACUGUGGGCGUGCGGUCGAUACGGGCAGACUGGAGUACUGCAGGGGAGACUGGAAUUCCUGGUGUAGCGGUGGAAUGCGCAGAUAUCAGGAGGAACACCGGUGGCGAAGGCGGGUCUCUGGGCAGUAACUGACGCUGAGGAGCGAAAGCGUGGGGAGCGAACAGG
rnacentral:rRNA from 1 species